rnacentral:lncRNA from 1 species
GACUGCAGAGCCUCUAUCUACGGCGCUGGAAGCCCGACCGGAGAAACGAGAGGCGAGGGAUGGUGAUGGAGAGAGAUGGAGGAUGGAUGGGGGUGGACGGACGGACGGGAGGACGGGAGGACGGGAGCCGGUGCGCACAACAGAGGAUCCGGGUUUGGAGAGAUCCUCGGGUCCCGGACAGUCAGGCGCUCGAUCCCGGGGUGGGUAGGUUUUGCGGGAUGAUGAGUCCGGAUGCUGGAAAGUCUGGGAGGUCUGGUGGUUACUGGGGGAUGAAGUUGCGGCGCUGAAGUUGGUUUAUUCACCGCAGACGACAGGAGCCUUCAGCGCUGCACUGCCGCGUUGCGUGAUGUGGACGGACCCGGUCUGCUGCAGAUGCGGCAUUUGAGAGAUCGGCGCUCUUGCGUGAAUUCAAGACAACACUGGGGGGUCGGUUUCUGCUCCUCCACUGAAGGAUGUGAAUUCUUAAAGUUCCUCAAAGUGUGACAUCCAUGUGAAGCGACAGUUUCUCACCGCGGGCAGCUUGGAGAGGCUGUGGAUGGAGCGCGGCGCGCGGAGAGGACACACCAGAGCGCGAGAAGGUUCGGUUUAAAUCGCGAUUUCUUUCCACUCGGAUGAAUAAACCCCCGAUCAUGCGUACUCGGCUCAUGUGUUACGCGCUUUAGCCUCCGGAUACAAGGUGAGAAGUGGUUUUGGCGUCGCGGCGUGCGUAAAAACGCCCCCGCACUGCGCCGCUGAGGGUUUUUCUACAACAGGGGGGCGAGGAAGAGGAAUGGGAAGACUGGAGGAAGACUCUCUGGGAAUGAGGGGAUGAAGGAGAGGAAAGGAAAGGAGGGGAGAGGAGAGGAGAGGAGGGGAGGUGUGUCGCAUGUUCCUGCUGGUACUUCUUAACAAGUCAGCAGCAGAGAGUCUCCUCACGCUGCUGCAGCUUCUCCUCAAACCCGAGUUACCAGAUUAAUCUGUGGCCCCCUGACUGACUGAGGGGGUCCAACUGUGGGCGUGGGUGUCUCUGUGACCUGUCUGACCUUUCACAUGUCUUUCCAGAUGUUCACAUCAGGAGCAAAUUCAGGACCUAUGGGGGCCAGCAGAGGAGAAGUGAGGAUUACUAGACUUGACCUUACAAUUAAAGGAUAUUUCUUGCGAAUGAAGGUGACUCAGAAAUGUCUUUUAAUUGUUUGGUUAAGUCUAGUUCGGCGAGAGUCCAGGUGGACCUGCAGUGAACCUCCUGAGAGUUUCAGCACCAGAGUGGAGAGGACAGCUCCUCCAGAGCCAGCAGCAGAACUCUGUACGGGGGCCCACAUGUGACAAAUGUAGGCUAACUGUAUCUAUAUUUAAAAAACUGACUCAGGAGAAAGUUGGCACCAAUUUUUAAAAUAUUUUUGAUGUCUCCAUCAUUAAUACCGAGCAGAGUGAUAAUAAAAUCAUUUUCUAGGAAUUUAUCGUAAAAUAGAAUAAAAAAAAAACAUGAAGUGGCUCAAAAAAAGAGAAAACUGAAGAAUAUUCAGAAUAUUCAGCUACGCAAUGAUAUUUAAAAGACAUGGAUGAUGUUUUUUAUGUAGACAGACUAUCAUUUUGAAGUUUUUAAAGUUUGAUUUUUAGCAGAGCAGAUGUAUUUUAUUCUCAAACAUGUAAACUUUUGUAAAAAUGUGUAAAAACGUCUUUUCUUUGAAUGUCUCCAGAUUAUUCAUGUUCACUGCGUCAGUUUGUGUCGAAUAUCUGCUGCGUCUAAAACAGCUGCCUCAUAUUUGAGGAAUCACAGUUCUGAGUUCAUAAUCUUAUUUUCUCAGUUUUAAUAACAUCAGUUUUUGUAUUUUUGACUUUUCAGAGAAGUUUUGAGCGAGAUUUGAGGUCUGAUGACCUCCUGACCUUCUGUUCGGUGUCACUGCAGCUAAAAUGAGCGAUGAGCUGAAAUAAACUGAACUGAGAGUAAA